rnacentral:rRNA from 1 species
AUUGAACGCUGGCGGCAGGCCUAACACAUGCAAGUCGAACGGUAACAGGAAACAGCUUGCUGUUUCGCUGACGAGUGGCGGACGGGUGAGUAAUGUCUGGGAAACUGCCUGAUGGAGGGGGAUAACUACUGGAAACGGUAGCUAAUACCGCAUAACGUCGCAAGACCAAAGAGGGGGACCUUCGGGCCUCUUGCCAUCGGAUGUGCCCAGAUGGGAUUAGCUAGUAGGUGGGGUAACGGCUCACCUAGGCGACGAUCCCUAGCUGGUCUGAGAGGAUGACCAGCCACACUGGAACUGAGACACGGUCCAGACUCCUACGGGAGGCUGCAGUGGGGAAUAUUGCACAAAGGGCGCAAGCCUGAUGCAGCCAUGCCGCGUGUAUGAAGAAGGCCUUCGGGUUGUAAAGUACUUUCAGCGGGGAGGAAGGGAGUAAAGUUAAUACCUUUGCUCAUUGACGUUACCCGCAGAAGAAGCACCGGCUAACUCCGUG